AACGAACGCUGGCGGCAGGCUUAACACAUGCAAGUCGAACGGGUGCAGCAAUGCAUCAGUGGCAGACGGGUGAGUAACACGUGGGAACCUUCCUAGGGGUACGGAACAACUCAGGGAAACUUGAGCUAAUACCGUAUACGUCCGUGAGGAGAAAGAUUUAUCGCCCUUAGACGGGCCCGCGUCGGAUUAGCUAGUUGGUGGGGUAACGGCCUACCAAGGCGACGAUCCGUAGCUGAUCUUAGAGGAUGAUCAGCCACACUGGGACUGAGACACGGCCCAGACUCCUACGGGAGGCAGCAGUGGGGAAUCUUGGACAAUGGGGGCAACCCUGUUCCAGCAAUGCCGUGUGUGUGAAGAAGGCCUUCGGGUUGUAAAGCACUUUUGGCGGGAACGAAAGGGCCUGGGCUAAUACCCUGGGUUGAUGACGGUACCCGCAGAAUAAGCACCGGCUAA
rnacentral:rRNA from 1 species